rnacentral:ncRNA from 1 species
UGAUAGAGGCGCGGCUGACAUGAGUAACUCUCGACAAACGGCAGGAGACCGUGAGAGCAAAAGGGGACGCCGCCGAAGGGUCUGUUGGCUCCCUGGCCGGCAGAUACUUGGGUCGUCGGGAAAUACCCGGCGGACUGUCGUCCGAAAGGACGGAGUGCUGUC